rnacentral:lncRNA from 1 species
AUGGAAAUUUCAAGUAGAGGUGUUGCUGAAGGCGCAGGGUGCGUUCAACGUGGGAACGGGCAUCACAGAGAGGCCAACGAGCACAACAGCGGAUUCACAAUCGGCACUCGAAGACUAUGCUGGCUCAAACAAGAUGCACUGGCGCAAAGGGUUUUCAUCACGACAGUGGAGAAAUCCGUAUUACUCCACCUGAUGGACUGUACAACGGCGCAGGAAAUGUGGAACAGGUUAAAGGAUACGUUUCAACAGAACAGGGAGCAGCUGAAGUGCAACCUGUGGCAGAGAUUCUACGGUUUCCGAUGGGAGAAAGGAAGCAGUGUUGGGGACCAACUGUGCAAAAUCAAGAAUCUUGCGUACGAGCUGAAACAAUUGGGCUGCGGGAUCAAGGACGAGAUGAUCAUCGCAAAGGAGCUGUCAUCACUUCCAGAGCAGUUCAAGUUCUUUGCAACGUCGUGGGAGUCAACGGCGGCCGUGGAUAGGACACUGACGAAUCUGAUGGCAAGGAUACUGGCGGAGGAAGAAAGAGCUGGUGGGGCCAAGCAGAUGAGGGAUAAGGAGAUUAUCCCGGCAACAGUGUUCUCAGCGAGCAAAGAAAAUUGUUGGAGGUGUGGUUCCAACCAACAUCUGAAAAGGGACUGUACAGAGAAGCGUCAAGACAACCCUGGUCAAGGACAGGAACAACAGGGCGGUUCCGGUCAUAGACGUGAGCAACAUGACAACCAAGGACGUGGGAAACGGCAGCGUUCGAAAUCCAAAGGAAAAAAGCAGAAAGCGGGCAACUACGCAGCUGGUAGUGCAAGCAGCAGCAGCAGCAGUAACACAGUAUGUUUCAUCGCCGACAGUAAUGUUUUUUCGUAGAUAUCACCUUAACAUUUAGAGGGGGUGUUGUGAUAUGGAGUCUGAGGCUCGGAUGACGUCAAUGGACGUGUAGCGUACCUAUGUUUAUGUUUAUGUUUCUCCUGCUAUCGAGACGAGCGCGAGCGGCCUCGAGUGCUGACGCACAUAGGCAACGGCAACGCCUAUGCAUACCUGGUUAUGUAUACACCUGUAGUCUUAUACGAUAAACUUCUUGUUCAGUUAUCCACUAACUAAGUCUGUGCUCUCUUCUACCCUAUUUCCCUUUUUGAACUUGCAAAAGCAUUAUUUUAGGGCACGGCCGCCAUCGUGGAUUUUGAGAUUUUGAAAAUCCGACCAAAAAUUCGAGAUCCCCGUUGAAAAAUACCCCCGCUUACCAAUUUCCACAAAUAUCCGUCGAUAAAUACUUCCUAAAACCUUAAAUUUCGUCUAUAAGGCAGUGACGUCACGCAACAGGAUUGAACCUGUUCGGCGCGAUGCGCGUAAACAACCGCGUAUCUCCAAUGUAAUACUAUAUGGAGAAACAACUUUUCGCUCUUGCGGGCAUCCUAGGCAGCGGAUUUGAAUGGGAAUAAUUUUAAUCAACUGCUCAUUACAGUAGCUAAGCGUGUACCAAUUUUAAAGGAAAUCGCUUCGGCCAAUUUUUCUCUAGAGGGGGCAGAGUGAGUGGGAACAGCAGCUUUAUACCGGGUGUCCGUAAAGUAACUGAAAGUGGGUAUAAUUUUUGAACAAAAAAAGAUAGAAGGUCGCGGUUUGUGGCAUUCUUCAUCAUUCAAAAAGGGAAAUUUUUCGAUGGGGGUUUUUUCUUGGUGGACCCCCCUAGGGGCCCCAGGGGGGGCAACUUUUAAAAUUCAAAUAGCAACCCCCAUUUUUUUAGACAUGGUUAGGCAGAACUUGAAAAGACAAGAAGAAUGGCUGAAAAAAAAAAUAAAAUCGGUUCAAUCGCUCAAAAGUUAUAGCUUGUCAAAAUUUUAAAUUGACCACUUUUCAAAAAAUCGCACUUGUCCUCCAAAUUAUCGAAAAAACAAAAACAAACCAGGAAUGAAAAGUUUGAAAAGUGCCCUUUAGGAAAAUGAAAAACGGCUGACCUUGUCACAAGUUCGGAUGGCAUUGUUUCAUAAUAAAAUUUCGGAAAAUUCAACGUGGCGGCAAAUUUGAGGAAACGCGAAAAAUGAAGAUUCCAGAAACUGUUAUCUUUCAAAUACCCUCUAGUUUAAGGAAAUCAAAGGUAUCACCUUUAAUUCCUUUAUUUGGCCAAGUAAGAGCAAUAAUUUGCUGACUUUAAAGUUGGCAAGCGGGGUGCCUUCAAUCGUUG